rnacentral:rRNA from 1 species
AGGCGACGACGGGUAGCCGGCCUGAGAGGGUGACCGGCCACACUGGGACUGAGACACGGCCCAGACUCCUACGGGAGGCAGCAGUGGGGAAUAUUGCACAAUGGGCGCAAGCCUGAUGCAGCGACGCCGCGUGAGGGAUGACGGCCUUCGGGUUGUAAACCUCUUUCAGCAGGGAAGAAGCGAGAGUGACGGUACCUGCAGAAGAAGCGCCGGCUAACUACGUGCCAGCAGCCGCGGUAAUACGUAGGGCGCAAGCGUUGUCCGGAAUUAUUGGGCGUAAAGAGCUCGUAGGCGGCUUGUCGCGUCGGUUGUGAAAGCCCGGGGCUUAACCCCGGGUCUGCAGUCGAUACGGGCAGGCUAGAGUUCGGUAGGGGAGAUCGGAAUUCCUGGUGUAGCGGUGAAAUGCGCAGAUAUCAGGAGGAACACCGGUGGCGAAGGCGGAUCUCUGGGCCGAUACUGACGCUGAGGAGCGAAAGCGUGGGGAGCGAACAGGAUUAGAUACCCUGGUACUCCAUGCCGUAAACGGUGGGCACUAGGUGUGGGCAACAUUCCACGUUGUCCGUGCCGCAUC